AAAUAUCUUCAGGGCAAGGUGAAAUUCCUGACCGGCGGUAAAGUCCGCGAAUCCUCUUUAGGAUUGAACUUGUGAAAUUCAAGUACCGACAGUAAAGUCUGGAUGAAAGAAGAGAUUG
rnacentral:ncRNA from 2 species